rnacentral:rRNA from 1 species
GUCCACGCCCUAACGAUGCGAACUAGGUGUUGGGAAGGAGACUUUCUUAGUACCGCAGCUAACGCGUGAAGUUCGCCGCCUGGGGAGUACGGUCGCAAGAUUAAAACUCAAAGGAAUUGACGGGACCCGCACAAGCGGUGGAUGAUGUGGAUUAAUUCGAUGCAACGCGAAAACCUUACCUACCCUUGACAUGCCAGGAAGUCUGCUGAGAGGUGGAUGUGCCCGAAAGGGAACCUGGACACAGGUGCUGCAUGGCUGUCGU